rnacentral:rRNA from 1 species
AAUGGGUCAGCGACUUAUAUUCUGUAGCAAGGUUAACCGAAUAGGGGAGCCGAAGGGAAACCGAGUCUUAACUGGGCGUUAAGUUGCAGGGUAUAGACCCGAAACCCGGUGAUCUAGCCAUGGGCAGGUUGAAGGUUGGGUAACACUAACUGGAGGACCGAACCGACUAAUGUUGAAAAAUUAGCGGAUGACUUGUGGCUGGGGGUGAAAGGCCAAUCAAACCGGGAGAUAGCUGGUUCUCCCCGAAAGCUAUUUAGGUAGCGCCUCGUGAAUUCAUCUCCGGGGGUAGAGCACUGUUUCGGCAAGGGGGUCAUCCCGACUUACCAACCCGAUGCAAACUGCGAAUACCGGAGAAUGUUAUCACGGGAGACACACGGCGGGUGCUAACGUCCGUCGUGAAGAGGGAAACAACCCAGACCGCCAGCUAAGGUCCCAAAGUCAUGGUUAAGUGGGAAACGAUGUGGGAAGGCCCAGACAGCCAGGAUGUUGGCUUAGAAGCAGCCAUCAUUUAAAGAAAGCGUAAUAGCUCACUGGUCGAGUCGGCCUGCGCGGAAGAUGUAACGGGGCUAAACCAUGCACCGAAGCUGCGGCAGCGACGCUUAUGCGUUGUUGGGUAGGGGAGCGUUCUGUAAGCCUGUGAAGGUGUGCUGUGAGGCAUGCUGGAGGUAUCAGAAGUGCGAAUGCUGACAUAAGUAACGAUAAAGCGGGUGAAAAGCCCGCUCGCCGGAAGACCAAGGGUUCCU